rnacentral:tRNA from 1 species
UCCUGGUUAGCUGAGUUGGUAGAGCGCUCCACCGGAAAGGGAGCGGUCCCUGGUUCAAUGCCAGGACCAGGCG